UGCAGGGAAUUCAGGUGGCCCAUUGAUUGAUUCAUCUGGUCAUGUAAUUGGUGUAAAUACUGCAACCUUCACUCGCAGAGGCUCGGGUAUGUCAUCAGGGGUUAAUUUUGCCAUACCAAUUGACACAGUUGUACGAACAAUACCUUACCUGAUCGUUUAUGGAACAACAUACAAAGACAGAUAUUGAACAUUAUGUAGUAAGAAAGUUACUUAUGCAUGAUCUGGGUAGCCUUUGUUGUCUUCACUGGACGGUAUUGAACUUGACAGAAAUUAAAAGGCUUUUGUUUGGAGCUGGAAGAAUAAUCAUGUUCUUAACUGCAGCUCCUUGUGGUGCUUAGUCAAUACGUGUUAUUUUAUUUUCGAAAGGACCAGAUUUGUCCCUCUAUUUUAAAAAAAUGUAUACAUUCUGUUAUACUAUUAGACCGAAAAUGCCCAAGGCAUUAGCAAAGUUGUUUAAGAAACCCCUAACCCUAAAGGAGGUCUAUGACCCAGCUUUGCACUU